ensembl:lncRNA
UGUGUGUGUGUGUAGCUUGUACACAUGUAUUUAAGCACUUUUUUUGGUAUACAGUGUUUUAAAUGAGAGCAGAAACACACCAGUCGUUUAAUGCCAAGCUCAUGAUUUCUCUUCCAAUGAGCAGUUUAUUCAGUUAACACUUUUUAAAUGGCAUCUCAAAGCACGCUUGCUUAAUAAGGCAUUUUCUAAAGCAAUUUAAUUCUCUUGCCUCCUUAGUUAAUUUUGCAUUUUUAUUUUUAUUUACUGUUAUUUUUAUUUUUACUCUGUAGAUUCUAUUCUAUAUAUAUGUCUCAUCCUUAUGGAACAAAAAACAUUUUUUGAAAAAUGUUGGGGACAAAACAUUGGUGCCCAUUGGCUUAAAUUUGAAUGGGCAUUUCUUCAAAAUAUAAUCUUUUAUUUUCUUUAAUGUUUUAUAUUUUGAAAUUUAAUUUUUUUUUUUUACCAAUGCUUUUAUGCUGUUCAUUUAUAAUGAAAAACUGUAUGUGCCUCUGCCUUAUUUUCUGCAUGCAUAUUUUUCAGGCUCAGCUGAAUGCGAUGCAUCUAAGCCGUAUGCAUGCUGCAACCACGAGCCCUAGCCCGGCGUACCUGAGCCACUGGCUUCAGAGCGGUGAGGCGAGGCCGUGCUCUCGCUCCAGUCAUGUUGCCAAUAGAGAGGAGGGAACGCACACCAAGAGCAGCUUGUGUGAAAGGCACCCGCAUGCCAUCCAAACCAUCCCUGAGGUGCUUGAGCCUCUGGAGAGAAAAGCUCGGUUUAGGAGCCGCAAUGUCAUGUCUCUGAGUGAUGCGGACAGUUUGUGUCUGAUCUGCCAUGACAACCUACGCAAUGGAGGAGGAGUUAUCAGAGAGCUUCACUGUUCCCACAGCUUCCACACUGAGUGCAUAGAGGAAUGGCUAUGGACUAAGCAGACCUGUCCCACGUGUCAAAAGCAUGUUGCCAUGCCAGAGCCCCUGUACUGGACAUCAGCCAGAGUAAUAGUGCCCUGAGCUCUUCCAGCACCCAUUCAAACUAGCUUGGACAUCAGAUGGGUAACCAAAACAUCAGACACGAUGGUGCAUAACUAACAACGCAGCUAUUUCCUACAAAAAAAAAAAAAAGGUGGUCAUAUGACUAAUCACAAAGAGGAGAUUUUGCUAUUCAGGAGAAACAGAUUGGUAGAGCAUUUCUUUGUAUAUAGGCUAAAUGACUUUAACAUCACUAAAUGUAAAAUUGUUUUUUAAAAUCAUAUUUACAUAUUAAGAAAAUAUGUUAUUUUCUAAUGUGUAUAUCUUUUUCUGCAGAAAUGUAAGCAAACUGAACAAGUUGUAUGAAGUAUGAAUUUUAAAAUGUACCUCACUAUCUUUGUAAGUAAUUUAAAGUAGGCCUUCUGGCAAUGUUCUGUUUUCAAAACCUGUAACUAAUGUAAUACUAUCAACAAAAGUGCAGGCCUGUAUUUACCAGGUGUGUACUUGAGUAAAUGUGCUUCUUUACUAUUCUUAAAGGGUUAGUUCACCCAAAAAUUCACUCAGAUUCCAUCAAAAAUAUCUUAAUUUGUGUUCUGAAGAUGAACGAAGCUCUUACGGGGUUGAAAUGACAUGAGGGUGAGUAAUUAAUGACAAUUUUCAUUUUUGGGUGAACUAACCCUUUAAGUACUACUUGGGGAAUUUGAACUUUAUUUUAGUUCAUACAGUAUUUCACUGGUCAUCCUGACAGAAUUAUGAUGAAUCUGACUGAAACAAGUCAAAAUCACAUUCCUGUGAUGUUUACUAAACUUUUAUUGAAAACAGCCAAUAAAACCUGUUUUAAUGUUGUCA